UCCGCCUGCCGAUGCAGGGGAUGCCCUAGUCCGGGAAUAUCCCACAUGAAGCAACUAAGCCCAUGAGCCACAACUACUGAAGCCCACGUUCUAGAGCCCGUGCUCUGCAACAAGAGAAGCCACCGCAAUGAGAAGCCCACAAGCAGCAACGAAGAGUAGCCCCCGCUCACCACAACUAGAGAAAGCCCAUGGUUAGCAACGAAGACCCAACGCAGCCAAAUUUAAAAAAAAGAAAGAAAGAAAACGUUAAAAGAAGAAAAGCUACUUUUCUGAAAAAUACUGAUACAUCAGUCAGUCAUGGUCCAGCCAGGAAGACUGAAUCCACACCAGAUAAUUCAGUGGAGGGAAUUUCAUUAUGUGGAAUCUGAAAGAGGAUGCAAGGGAAGGUGAGGCCUAGCCUAAAGGAGGUGGUGGGUGUGUUGCCCAGAGCCCAGGAAUGGGGCCUCCCAGUGGGAACUGAGCACAGUGAUCUUGCCUGGCUGUGGCUGGGGCCGGGGCAGGAUCUGAGACUGCAAACAGCUAGACUACAGGAAGUACAGAGAAAGAAGUCCCCAGGCUUCUCUCCUUCCACCGUCCAACAUCCUGCCUGUGCCAUGGACCAAACCUGGCAGGAGCUUGUCAGCAAGGGAGCCUGGGAAAUGCAGCAAGCAGGGUACAGGCCCGGGAUGGAUCUGAGGACAAACAGGCAAAUGACUGGCACCACAGCCAAACCUCCUCCAGCAAGAAAAAGGAAUAAAAUGAAUAAAGAAAAUAGAACAAGGAUAUCACAACAGAUCUAGAGAACAAGAAUUAUAAGAGAAUAUAGUGUGCACAAUAUUAAUUUGAAAAUCUCAAGGUAAACAGUUAAUUUUCUUGAAAAUAUACAUUGAUUUUUAUAAAUUUCUUUUUUUAGUAGAGAAUCUGAAUUAUCCAAUAAGAAAAAACUACUCAAGGAAUAACACCAAAAAGAAUAUGGGGAGGGGGGACAAUUUUGUAAAUAAUUUUUUUUCAAACUUUUAAAGAACAGAAAAUUCCCAUGCUAUAGAGACUAUUUCACACAAAAAAAUCUAAAAACUCAUUUUAUGAAGGUACUGUAAAAUCCUAAUAACAAAACUUGGCCAAGAAACUGUGCUCAGACACAGCACCACAGGUUUUCACACUAGGCAGUGGCCUCAACACUCCACUCCACAACAGUCCUUUUAUAACCAAUAUAUUUUUUUUGCAAUGGGGAGAAAUGUACUCAUUUUAAUGGAAUUCCAAAAGAUAGUAUAAUUUUAAAUAAAAUAGCCUAACAGGCAUAGGUUAUUAAAAACAGACACAAGCUACAAAAAGACUAAAGGAUACACAAAUAGCUUUUAAUGUAUUGGAAAUAAACGGCUUCAUUCUGGUUUUUUUUUUUUUUUUUAUGAUUACAAACCAGGAACAUUUUUAUUGUUUAUUCCCCAUAGACAAACUAUAUUAAGAUUUUGGUGAAAACACUUUUUUUAAAAACAUCUUUAUUGGAGUAUAAUUGCUUUACAAUGGUGUGUUUCUGUUUUAUUCACAAAAUGAAUCAGCUAUACAUAUAUAUAUAUAUCUAUAUAUAUAUAUCCCCAAAUCUCUUCCCUCUUGCAUCUCCCUCCCUCCGACCCUCCCUAUCCCACCCCUCUAGGUGGUCACAAAGCACCGAGCUCUGCUAUGUGGCUGCUUCCCACUAGCUAUCGGUUUUACAUUUGGUACUGUGUAUAUGUCCAUGCCACUCUCUCACUUCGUCCCAGAUUACCCUUCUCCCUCCCUGUGUCCUCAAGUCCAUUCUCUAUGUCUGCGUCUUUAAUCCUGUCCUGCCCCUAGGUUCUUCAUGACCCUUUUUUUUUUAGAUUCCAUAAAUAUGUGUUAGCGUAUGGUAUUUGUUUUUCUCUUUCUGACUUACUUCAAUCUGUAUGACAGACUCUAGGUCCAUCCACCUCACUACAAAUAACUCAAUUUCGUUUCUUUUUAUGACUGAGUUAUAUUCCAUUGUAUAUAUGUGCCACAUCUUCUUUAUCCAUUCAUCCUGUCGAUGGACACUUAGAUUGCUUCCAUGUCCUGGCUAUUGUAAAUAGAGCUGCAAUGAACAUUGUGGUACAUGACUCUUUUUGAAUUAUGGUUUACUCGGGGUAUAUGCCCAGUAGUGGGAUUGCUGGGUCGUAUGGUAUAUAACCAAUAUUUUAAACACCCCUUUACUAUCCUGAAAUAAAAGUUUACAGGGAAUAUUGAUUGUUUACAAACCUAAUAUCAAAAUCACUAUAAAAUAUAAGGGAAUAAAAUACAAAAGAUUCUG
ensembl:lncRNA